GAUGAACGCUGGCGGCGUGCCUAAUACAUGCAAGUCGAACGGGGAUAGAAAUAUCUUAGUGGCGACCGGGUGCGUAACACGUAGCUGACCUGCCCCUCAGCGGGGGACAACAGUUCGAAAGGACUGCUAAUACCGCAUGGACUUUGAGGAUUUAGAAAGCUCAAAGGAAACUUACGGGGUUGAGGGAGGGAGCUGCGGCCCAUCAGGUAGUUGGAGAGGUAGAAGCCCACCAAGCCGACGACGGGUAGGGGGCCUGAGAGGGUGACCCCCCACACUGGAACUGACAACGGUCCAGACUCCUACGGGAGGCAGCAGUAAGGGAUAUUGCGCAAUGGGCGAAAGCCUGACGCAGCAACGCCGCGUGGAGGAAUAAGGCCUUCGGGUUGUAAACUCCUUUGGAAGGGGACGAGCAAGGACGGUACCCUUCGAACAAGUCACGGCUAACUACGUGCCAGCAGCCGCGGUAAAACGUAGGUGGCGAGCGUUAUCCGGAUUUACUGGGUGUAAAGCGUGUGCAGGCGGAAGACCAAGUGGUGUAUGAAAGCGUCCGGCUCAACCGGGCAAGGUUAUGCCAGACUGGUCAUCUAGAGUGCGAGAGAGGGGCGUGGAAUUCCGGGUGUAGUGGUGAAAUGCGUAGAGAUCCGGAGGAACCCCAGAGGCGAAGGCGGCGCCCUGGCUCGCAACUGACGCUCAGACACGACAGCAUGGGGAGCGAACGGGAUUAGAAACCCCGGUAGUCCAUGCCGUAAACGAUGUCGACUAGGCGUCGGCGGUCUCAACCCCGUCGGUGCCGCAGCCAACGCGAUAAGUCGACCACCUGGGAAGUACGACCGCAAGGUUUAAAACUCAAAGGAGUUGACGGGGGCCCGCACAACCAGCGGAGCGUGUGGUUUAAUUCGAGGCUACGCGAAGAACCUUACC
rnacentral:rRNA from 1 species